CCUACGGGAGGCAGCAGUGGGGGAUAUUGGACAAUGGGGGGAACCCUGAUCCAGCGACGCCGCGUGAGUGAAGAAGUAUCUCGGUAUGUAAAGCUCUAUCAGCAGGGAAGAAGAAAUGACGGUACCUGAGUAGGAAGACCCGGCUAACUACGUGCCAGCAGCGGCGGUAAUACGUAGGGGGCAGGCGUUAUCCGGAAUUAUUGGGUGUAAAGGGAGCGUAGACGGUCAGGUAAGUGUGGAGUGAAAGGCGGGGGCCCAACCCCAGGACUGCUCUGGAAACUAUGUGACUGGAGUGCAGGAGAGGUUAGCCGAAUUGCUGGUGUAGCGGUGAAAUGCGUAGAUAUUA
rnacentral:rRNA from 1 species